CUUUCUAUUCAGUGUAGUAAGCGGAUGGCAAAUAUAUUUUAUUACCACCUUCAAUUUAUUGGGGUUAAAGCGAUCUCCAUAUGUAUGUUUCUUUUAAGUCAAGAUGAGCCUUAACAUUGUCCUUUAUUUUUUUCUCAAUAUUUAGCGGUGCAUUGAGCAUGCUAUCACAUAUUUUUUUUCAAUAUAUAUCACAUUUAAAUUAUAUCAUGAUAAAAGUGUCUCCUAAUAGAGU
rnacentral:lncRNA from 1 species